rnacentral:rRNA from 1 species
UACGUAGGGUGCAAGCGUUAAUCGGAAUUACUGGGCGUAAAGCGUGCGCAGGCGGUUUUGUAAGUCUGUCGUGAAAUCCCCGGGCUCAACCUGGGAAUGGCGAUGGAGACUGCAAGGCUAGAGUUUGGCAGAGGGGGGUAGAAUUCCACGUGUAGCAGUGAAAUGCGUAGAUAUGUGGAGGAACACCGAUGGCGAAGGCAGCCCCCUGGGUCAAAACUGACGCUCAUGCACGAAAGCGUGGGGAGCAAACGGG